rnacentral:rRNA from 1 species
UUGGAACCGGGAAGAGGUAAGAGGUACUACAGGGGUAGGAGUGAAAUCUUGUAAUCCCUGUGGGACCACCUGUGGCGAAGGCGUCUUACCAGAACGGGUUCGACGGUGAGGGCGAAAGCUGGGGGCACGAACCGGAUUAGAUACCCGGGUAGUCCCAGCCGUAAACGAUGCUCGCUAGGUGUCAGGCAUGGCGCGACCGUGUCCGGUGCCGCAGGGAAGCCGUGAAGCGAGCCACCUGGGAAGUACGGCCGCAAGGCUGAAACUUAAAGGAAUUGGCGGGGGAGCACAACAACGGGUGGAGCCCUGCGGUUUAAUUGGACUCAACGCCGGACAACUCACCGGGGGCGACAGCAAUAUGUAGGCCAGGCUGAAGACUUUGCCUGAAUCGCUGAGGAGAGGUGCAUGG